rnacentral:rRNA from 1 species
UACGUAGGGUGCAGGCGUUAAUCGGAAUUACUGGGCGUAAAGCGUGCGCAGGCGGUUUUGUAAGUCAGAUGUGAAAUCCCCGGGCUUAACCUGGGAACUGCGUUUGAAACUACAAGGCUAGAGUGUGGCAGAGGGGGGUGGAAUUCCACGUGUAGCAGUGAAAUGCGUAGAGAUGUGGAGGAACACCGAUGGCGAAGGCAGCCCCCCUGGGUUAACACUGACGCUCAGGCACGAAAGCGUGGGGAGCAAACAGG